rnacentral:misc_RNA from 1 species
AAGUCGUAACAAGGUUUUCGUAGGUGAACCUGCGGAAGGAUCAUUAGUGAAUUCAAAGAGUGCUCUUUAUUGAGGCUCGUUUCCUAAUUCAACACCCCUUUGUGAACUUGAACACUUGAUUGCUUUUCGCAAGAAAGGCUUUCGAUUAAUACAUAACCCCUUUGCAUUGAAAAGAGAUGAGAAUGUAACUUAAAAUAAUGAAAGAACAA